AACUGGGUGUGAUGUUUACAUGCCUCAAGGUAAAUGUAAUAACACACACCUAAACAGUUUUGCUGAAAGGUAGAGCCUUACCUAAUCAAGCCAGAAAUCACAUCCCCUGCACUAUAUGCUGGAGGCUUUCAAGAGCCAGAGAACGUCCAGAAAAAAUGCUGAUUUUGGGAUUGGAAGCAGCCAGUCACUAUGAGUUUCACAGAUGCAAGAUCCAGAUGUGCAGCCCUUGGAAUGAAUCUCUCCGGCAGUGGCAGCUGGCUACCACUUUCUCUUUUCUGUUUUUCUCAGCAGAUGUGAUUGCACUGUGCACCACCAACAUUAUUCAUUUUCACACCAUUUUCUUGUAACAAUGGGAAACUAACUCACUGCAGCAUGUUUUGAUGUGGGAGAGGAACAAAUAUACACAAAGGUAGCAAGAAAUCACGACAAAGGCUGCGAGGUGGUUCAAGAAAGAUGACCAUGUAUGGACCUUCUUCAAGCUAGAAAAGCUUGGAAACAAACGGAGAUGGGGGACUGAAUUGUCAGAAUUGAAAAACAGAAAUAGAUUGAAAUCAGUAUGACUUCUUAAAUAUCAACUCUUGGACUGUACUCAGUGAAAAGGACCUACCAUGGCUUUUGUUUGCAACACAAUUAAGUUUGGAAGAACUCCACAAAUUUUGGAUCAGCUGCUGAGGUUUUGUAUUGUCAAAAUGGAAAAAUUAGACCUGCUGUACUUGUCAGUGAAAUACCAGGAUGUGGAAAACACAAAUCUUGUGCUUCGAAAGCUGAUAAAAACACCGUUUUCCAGAAAGAGUGAUCAGCUUGACAUAGGAUGGAGGAUGGCAUAGGAGGGGAUUCUACCUGCCAUUCCAGCUGCACUUAUAUUCUUGAAGGACCUUUGCCUGCAGGACCCAUUGACAAACCUUCAACUGAUGGCAAGAGCCACCCUCAGUGCCAGUGCUGUGAUGGCCGGAUGGCAUGGUGUCACCUGCCGAGGGCAUCUGGGCCGGUGCAGCUGUGCUGCCUGCCUUACCCAUGAGAAGCAGCUGGGAGAAUUAGACUGAAGCCAGCUUUGUGUCCACAUACAAGCGUCAGAAAUGCAAGUCACAGAUAUAAUUUAUCUGGCUUCAAGUGCCAUCACCCUGAGGAGCUGAGUGUUUAAUAACAUGUUUCCCUUGCCACAGUGUUAGAUGUUGUCUCUGUGUCUUCAGGUAAUAUCUAGACUUAGCAUUUGAAUAACUUCUAGUGGGAAGAAACACCUGAUCUUUUUGGCUCUUUUACAUUUAGAAGAAAUCCAAGGACCUAAAAGUGGGAAGAUCAAAACAAAAUUUAACGAAUGUGACUUCAACAUCAGUUUCAGACCAUGGAAGCAUAACAAUUUCCAGACAAAAUUAUCUCAUUUUUUUUUUCCUAAUUUGUGACCAUGUUUUACCUCAAAUGAGUCUAAAAGAGUGGUAAACAGAUCUGCAGAGUGAAUGGGAAAGGGGAGCUGUCAACAUGAGGCACUUCCCCUCUAGAGCAGCAGAGGUGCCACCAGAGCACCUCGCUCUGCUCACACUUACCUUCACGAUCCAGUCCGCAGAGACCUUCCUCUGGAAACCUGUUUUCAGUCAAAACGGAACCAGGUGUCCCAUAUACCUCCUUUUUCCUGAUGUCUAAAACUAAAUCUGACAUUCUCUUUGCUCACGGAAGGUAAGUACGAGGAGCUAGUGCUUGCUCUAGAGCCAGCAUCCCAAGCUAGCAGAUAUUCCUGCCAAACAGAAAAAUAAAUGAAAAUACUAGGUUUUCUUUCUCUCCUAAUGAAAUCUGAACACAAAAAGAAAAUGCUUAGCUGAUACAAAAUUGACAUACUUUCUGUGGCCCCUUAGGUAAGCCAGACUGAAUGAAUUUUUAUUUUUUUUUUUAAUUAUUACUGCACUUCAAGAUAAAACUGAUCAACUUUGAUCUCAACAUAACCACGGCAUCUAAGUAUGCUCAUAUAUUUAUCCAGUGUAUGCUAAUAUCACUAAAAAAAUGCUUAACCCCAUGCUUCUCUUCCUUUAAAAUGGUUACAGUAAGUCACAUGCCCAAAACAACAAAAAUAUAUUUUUAGGUUCAAUUCUGUCUUCCUAAAAAUCAUCACCUUUGAUCUGUUUUCAGCCUCAGGAAUACUGAACAAACACCUUGGUGCACGAACUCUUUCCUGAGACAAUUUUGCUAUAAGAGCCAACAUUUCUUCUGCACUGACUUUCCAAAAACAUCCCACAAAAGUACUCGAAAUCUGUGGCUAUGUAGAAAGUUUAGUGGAAAUUCUUCAUGUUACACGUCUUCCCUUGUGUAUUAAUACCAGUGCGUUUCAAAUGGUGGUUUGAUUUCAAACAUUGAAUUAAUGAAGUGGCUAAAAAACAGUCGAGUCAAACCUGCUACCGAAAGGCAUACCAACAUCUCCCUCUACUGACCGCGACGGCGGAGAGCAGAGCCUGGGCGCUCCUAAAGGGGAAACUGGAGUCCUCAUUAUAGGGCACCCCAAAAGCAGCGGGCGUUUCAACUGUGCAGUCCCAUCAGCCACCGAAUUUAGCAGUUUUCCUGUUUACUCACGGCAGGAGUAAACCUAUUAAAUGCGAGCACUGCCCUUUCACAUCUUU